GGAAUGAAGUCCACGUUACUAAACUGAAGCAUCUCCUGGGAGACCCUUCUGCCCCUGUGAAGUCACUCUGUGGAAUGAAAGGUUCUACAGCUGUGGAAGGAGGAUCACUGCAUCAGGAGAGGCUGCACGUUCAGACACAUGGAAAUUGUAUGAAGAUGAUGCAAGUGGCCAUCAACUGAAGAACAGAAUUGCUGAAAUAUAGGGCAAGAACGCAAGGUCUGAAAAACGAACCGAGAGAGGUAGAGAUAGAAAACAGGCGAACAUACCUGUUCAGAGUAUGUUUCUUGGCUUUGCUUUCAGUUGCAGCUUUGCUUUCCAUUCUUUGCCUUGCCUUGCUUUGCC